GCCCAGGUGGCUAAGUUGGUUGAACAUCCGACUUCAACUCAGGUCAUGAUCUCACCAUUCAUGGGUUUGAGUCCCAUUUUGUGCU
rnacentral:tRNA from 1 species